GCGGAAAACGUGCCAUUUUUUUUUUUUUUUUUUCAACCUGGCCCACGUGACGUACAGACCCGCCACAAAUACAAAGUUCCUCUGUCCACUCGGACGGAGUCUUCUUUGUAUUUGCACGGCGUACCAACAAUAAAACAGGAUCACAACCACAAUCUACAUUUACCAAUCAACAACCAAGGCAUGAUAUGCAUUUCCAUACAGCUAACAAUCCUUAGAAUGAUGCAUGCCUCUAAGCACUCCUUAGGCGCUGGAUGAUGCAAUGCACAAUACAACAAACAUCCUAUUUAAAAGUGCUCCCCACACGGAAGUUUUUGUUUUUAAACUCUAAUUCAUUCAUUCAUAAAAACCAUUCAAAAAUUUUUUUGAAAUUGUUUCCCACACGGAAACUCUAUUUUGAAAACCGACUACCUCGAGGGGUAGAAAACCACGAUGCAUAACUACAAGAAAACCAAAUCUCCACAGAACCAAAACCACAGAUCGAAAACUCCAAUCUCAUGUAUAAUAAAACAUCCAUAAUCUCAUGCAUAACGGAAAUCACCACAUUCAAACAUCUAACUGAACCAUUUAUUUAAAUGACUACUAAAGGCGGAAAGAAAUAACCAGGGUGACGGUCGCUACUGCCGUCUAGCUAGAUCG
rnacentral:lncRNA from 1 species